UUUAUGGAGAGUUUGAUCCUGGCUCAGGAUGAACGCUGGCGGCGUGCCUAAUACAUGCAAGUCGAGCGAACGGACGAGAAGCUUGCUUCUCUGAUGUUAGCGGCGGACGGGUGAGUAACACGUGGAUAACCUACCUAUAAGACUGGGAUAACUUCGGGAAACCGGAGCUAAUACCGGAUAAUAUUUUGAACCGCAUGGUUCAAAAGUGAAAGACGGUCUUGCUGUCACUUAUAGAUGGAUCCGCGCUGCAUUAGCUAGUUGGUAAGGUAACGGCUUACCAAGGCAACGAUGCAUAGCCGACCUGAGAGGGUGAUCGGCCACACUGGAACUGAGACACGGUCCAGACUCCUACGGGAGGCAGCAGUAGGGAAUCUUCCGCAAUGGGCGAAAGCCUGACGGAGCAACGCCGCGUGAGUGAUGAAGGUCUUCGGAUCGUAAAACUCUGUUAUUAGGGAAGAACAUAUGUGUAAGUAACUGUGCACAUCUUGACGGUACCUAAUCAGAAAGCCACGGCUAACUACGUGCCAGCAGCCGCGGUAAUACGUAGGUGGCAAGCGUUAUCCGGAAUUAUUGGGCGUAAAGCGCGCGUAGGCGGUUUUUUAAGUCUGAUGUGAAAGCCCACGGCUCAACCGUGGAGGGUCAUUGGAAACUGGAAAACUUGAGUGCAGAAGAGGAAAGUGGAAUUCCAUGUGUAGCGGUGAAAUGCGCAGAGAUAUGGAGGAACACCAGUGGCGAAGGCGACUUUCUGGUCUGUAACUGACGCUGAUGUGCGAAAGCGUGGGGAUCAAACAGGAUUAGAUACCCUGGUAGUCCACGCCGUAAACGAUGAGUGCUAAGUGUUAGGGGGUUUCCGCCCCUUAGUGCUGCAGCUAACGCAUUAAGCACUCCGCCUGGGGAGUACGACCGCAAGGUUGAAACUCAAAGGAAUUGACGGGGACCCGCACAAGCGGUGGAGCAUGUGGUUUAAUUCGAAGCAACGCGAAGAACCUUACCAAAUCUUGACAUCCUUUGACAACUCUAGAGAUAGAGCCUUCCCCUUCGGGGGACAAAGUGACAGGUGGUGCAUGGUUGUCGUCAGCUCGUGUCGUGAGAUGUUGGGUUAAGUCCCGCAACGAGCGCAACCCUUAAGCUUAGUUGCCAUCAUUAAGUUGGGCACUCUAAGUUGACUGCCGGUGACAAACCGGAGGAAGGUGGGGAUGACGUCAAAUCAUCAUGCCCCUUAUGAUUUGGGCUACACACGUGCUACAAUGGACAAUACAAAGGGCAGCGAAACCGCGAGGUCAAGCAAAUCCCAUAAAGUUGUUCUCAGUUCGGAUUGUAGUCUGCAACUCGACUACAUGAAGCUGGAAUCGCUAGUAAUCGUAGAUCAGCAUGCUACGGUGAAUACGUUCCCGGGUCUUGUACACACCGCCCGUCACACCACGAGAGUUUGUAACACCUGAAGCCGGUGGAGUAACCUUUUAGGAGCUAGCCGUCGAAGGUGGGACAAAUGAUUGGGGUGAAGUCGUAACAAGGUAGCCGUAUCGGAAGGUGCGGCUGGAUCACCUCCUUUCU
rnacentral:rRNA from 1 species